GGGCCCGCACAAGCGGUGGAGCAUGUGGUUUAAUUCGAUGAUACGCGAGGAACCUUACCAGGGCUUAAAUGCAGAACGACCGGGGUGGAAACACCCCUUCUUCGGCGGUCUGCAAGGUGCUGCAUGGUUGUCGUCAGCUCGUGCUGUGAAGUGUCGGGUUAAGUCCCAUAACGAGCGCAACCCCUAUUUCUAGUUGCCAGCGGUUCGGCCGGGGACUCUAGAGAAACUGCCAGCGUAAGCUGUGAGGAAGGUGGGGAUGACGUCAAAUCAUCACGGCCCUUACGUCCUGGGCCACACACGUGCUACAAUGGUGGGGACAACAAGUUGCCAACCCGCGAGGGUGAGCUAAUCUUCAAACCCCAUCUCAGUUCGGAUCGGAGUCUGCAACUCGACUCCGUGAAGUUGGAAUC
rnacentral:rRNA from 1 species